rnacentral:miRNA from 1 species
ACUUGAGCCUUGCGAAUAA